rnacentral:tRNA from 1 species
GGGGCUGUAGCGCAGUUGGGAGCGCGUCUCCUUGGCGUGGAGAAGGUCACGGGUUCAACUCCCGUCAGCUCCACCA